AUGGACCUCCAGAUUUCCUUACUGGUGGAGUCUCACUCUGUAGCCCAAGCUGGAGUGGCGUGAUCUCGACUCACUGCAACCUCCGCCUCCUGGGAUCAAGUGAUUCUCGUGCCUCAGCCUCCUGAGUAGCCGGGACUACAGGUCACAGAAUUUUCCACACUCCUUGACAGAGGUGCUUAACCCUUAUCCAUCAGCAUUCUCAGACAGCACCUCCGGUUAGGGACAGUAUCUGACCGUCCGACAUCCCUGCAGCCCCCAUGUGUCACACAGACUCAGCCUCAGGUAGAUGGUUUCCGUAGAUGGUGGCUUUCUUUGGACCCUUGACAUCAACCAGUUACUAUUUGCAGGGCCACACAUAACAAAUAGAAGCAGAGCAAGCCCUGGAACUCCUGCCUGACAGUGACACGACGACAGAAACAUCUUACCAGUCAGAGGACCAUGAGAAAUAGAUUCAAGGAGCAUUCCACGUGCAAGUGAGUCUUGGCCCCAUCUGCCUUUGGAUUUUAGCCGUGAACUGGAAGGUAUUGGAAAGAAGACCCUCAGAAAUAGCUUAAUCAAAAUCCCUGCGUCUGAACCAAGUGCCUUAUUUCUCUGUGGGCCUCAAGCUUCGCUGACAUCUGUGGAGCACACUGUCCUAACAGGAGUGCUGUCUGAUUUCCCAACGCUCUGCAAAACAAACAGCCUGGAAGGGUGGCUGGUG
rnacentral:lncRNA from 10 species